rnacentral:rRNA from 1 species
UACGGAAGGCAGCAGUGGGGAAUAUUGCACAAUGGGCGAAAGCCUGAUGCAGCUAUGCCGCGUGUAUGAAGAAGGCCUUAGGGUUGUAAAGUACUUUCAUCGGGGAGGAAAAACAAAACUAAUAAUUUUAUUUCUUGACGUUACCCGAAAAAGAAGCACCGGCUAACUCCGUGCCAGCAGCCGCGGUAAUACGGAGGGUGCUAGCGUUAAUCAGAAUUACUGGGCGUAAAGAGCACGUAGGUGGUUUUUUAAGUCAGAUGUGAAAUCCCUGGGCUUAACCUAGGAACUGCAUUUUGAAACUGAAAUACUAGAGUAUCGUAGAGGGAGGUAGAAUUCUAGGUGUAGCGGUGAAAUGCGUAGAUAUCUGGAGGAAUACCUGUGGCGAAAGCGGCCUCCUAAACGAAUACUGACACUGAGGGUGCGAAAGCGUGGGGGAGCAAACAGGGAUUAGAUACC